GACGAACGCUGGCGGCGUGCUUAACACAUGCAAGUCGAACGGAAAGGCCCUGCUUUUGUGGGGUGCUCGAGUGGCGAACGGGUGAGUAACACGUGAGUAACCUGCCCUUGACUUUGGGAUAACUUCAGGAAACUGGGGCUAAUACCGGAUAGGAGCUCCUGCUGCAUGGUGGGGGUUGGAAAUUUUCGGCGGUUGGGGAUGGACUCGCGGCUUAUCAGCUUGUUGGUGGGGUAGUGGCUUACCAAGGCUUUGACGGGUAGCCGGCCUGAGAGGGUGACCGGCCACAUUGGGACUGAGAUACGGCCCAGACUCCUACGGGAGGCAGCAGUGGGGAAUAUUGCACAAUGGGCGGAAGCCUGAUGAAGCAACGCCGCGUGCGGGAUGACGGCCUUCGGGUUGUAAACCGCUUUCGCCUGUGACGAAGCGUGAGUGACGGUAAUGGGUAAAGAAGCACCGGCUAACUACGUG
rnacentral:rRNA from 1 species